rnacentral:ncRNA from 1 species
AGCAAUGUCGCCUUCGAUGGUUGUCCGGGGUCAAAUCCGGGCUGAAAAAGGGAACGCGGUGAGGUGCAAAAGUACCAAUUCCGUGGCUGCCCCCGCAACUGUAAGCGGCGAGCGAUCCUGCCCCACGCCACUGGCCCUUUGGUCGGGAAGGCGCGGGAUCGCCCCGACCCGCAAGCCAGGAGACCUGCCAUCCCAAACCGUAACAC